AAACGUUUUAUAAAAUAUGUAACAGAUGGUAUAUUGUACCAACACGAUUGAACAGAAUAGAUCCUAAUGCAUCAAAGAUGUGCUGGAGAUGUAUGGAAAGGGUAGGUAGUUACAUACAUAUAUGGUGAAAUUGCCCAAAAAUUAAAAAAACUUUGGGAUCAGAUAUAUAGAUAUGUAUAGAUUUGAUAAGAUUAAAAUUGAUAAAAAAUCCCCCGGCAGCAUUAUUACAUUUGGGUUAGCCAAUCUUGAAACCAUCUCAAUUUUAUCUGGUCGUACACUGCUUUAUGGUCAUAAAGAUUCUGAUGGUGAGAAGAUGGAAUCAAUCUAUGGAAAUUAGUUACAUACAUUUGAAAGAGCAGUUUAUAUUAUAAUUAAGGACAUCAAUUCCUCAGCGAAGAAUAAAAAACUAAGAGAGAACUGUCUUACAAAAGCACUUGCACUUUCAUAGACAUACUUACCCAGAAACGUUUAAUAUGAUUUAUAAUCCCCUAAGGAAGGGGAAGACACUAUUUAUUCCUCCCAGAACUCUUGGCCAAUACUCCUCUCAAUUGUAAUGUGUAAGAGUUUGUCUUGUUAAUGUUUAUAUUUGUAAAGUAUGUUUUUGUAUGUAUUUUGUAUUAUAUGAAUGGAAAAAGAAAAAUAAUAAAAAUGUUUAAGAAAAAAAAAAAAUCACAACCAAUGCAGAACCACACUCAUUGUCUGAGCUGGUUAAGCUGACACUCUGAGCUCUGUUGAGGAGGGGGACAGUCCGCAGAAGCCACCCUCCUGCAUCCAAAAGGUAGGAAAGAAGAGGUGUACAUUGUGACCUACAUGUGUCCGUCUGUGUAUAGAUGUCAGCUUCUCGCCAGCUCUACAUACAAAUACACAUUCACUAAUACAUACUCCAUGCAAAAACAUGCCUGCAUUCAAAUACACAAACACUGCUCAGUGCUAAAUACAACCCUGCAAGGAUGGACAAAUGGUUGAUCCGCAGCUGGAAAAGCAUCGUAAGAGUUGUACAACAGAUGGUGGUGUGGCCACGCUUGUGCACUAGGGCCCUCUCGAUGAUGGUUCUGCCACUGAUCCAUGUACAAUGGUUCAUUGCAGCCUUG